GAUCUACAUAAUGUUGGUGAUGCGUGUGGUUGAAUUCGUCCUCAUCACUGUUGUUACUGUUCUCAUCACUGUUGUUACUGUUCGUCACUUCAGAGCUCGAGCAGGGAACCAGAGACCACCUGAUGACCACACUGUUUCUUACUCAGUAAGAAGCAGAACAGCGAGGCGUUCAGGUCCAGCAGCCAGUCAGGUAAAUAUCUGAUGGUGCGUUCAGGGUCUGCUGACUCCACUGUGACCUGUGUUCACUUUUAAAACUUCAACAGUCAGCUGGGAGGAAAA